UUUGGUCUUUUGAUUAUCAGUAACCCAAUUUUUCAUCCUAAAUUAUAGCUUUGACCGAAAUACUAUUUUUUGAUUAAACAAUGGGCUGGAACUGAAUGCUUCUGGACGAGAAAGGGAAGACACAUGAGAAAUAAAGAUUCAGUUAGAAGUGGAUGCAAAAUUUAACAGAAGGAUAUUUUUGGUUAAAUUUGAAAAACUUAAAAGAUGCUUUCUGUUAAG
rnacentral:lncRNA from 1 species